rnacentral:lncRNA from 1 species
GGAAAUCUUCCAGAGGCAUCUGAGCUGCUUCUCGUGAAGUCUAGUUCAUUCUGCAACAAACUGAAGGAUGGACUGUCACAUUUACCUGGAAUAUUCGAGGUACCAUUGACCAAAGGUUCUUCACUUGCAUUAUCAACUGCUUCAUUUGAAGUUUUAGCUUCAUCUUCAACAACAUGAAUAUCAUGAAGAUGGGGAUCUGUAUUGUUCACAGAGUAGAGAUCUCUUGUUCGUUGAUGGUCACCAUUCUUUUCAUGACAAGGAAGAGUUGUUUUAGCAAAAGCCAACCCAUCAUAUGACACUUCGUGGACUUCUUGUUCAUCUGCAAUCAAUUCCGUGCAUUUCUCAACCUUACCUAGAGCAUUUGACUCAUUGCUUUGCAAAUAUGGCUCUAAUUCAGUUACUUUUCCUGGUACAACGUAUAAAUUUUCAUCCUCUACCAUGUCCUUACCUUGUAACUCAUAGUCAAUCUCUUCACUACCCUUGUAGAUAUCAGGAACUUGGAGCAACAACAUCCCCCUAGCUUUUGCAGCAUCAGCAGUUUCAUCCGCUCCAAUAGAUGGCGACUCUUCCCC